CGCAUCUGUGCAUGCAGCAUAUCAAUAAGCGGAGGAAAAGAAACUAACAAGGAUUCCCCUAGUAACGGCGAGUGAAGCGGGAAGAGCUCAAAUUUGAAAUCUUAAAGGGUUUCCCUUUACGAAUUGUAGUUUAAAGAAGUGUUUUCUGUUGAGGUUUUGGUAAAAGUUCUUUGGAAUAGGACAUCAUAGAGGGUGAGAAUCCCGUAUUUGACCUUUACUUUCAACUUUGUGAUACACUUUCAAAGAGUCGGAUUGUUUGGGAAUGCAGUCCAAUAUGGGUGGUAAAUUUCAUCUAAAGCUAAAUAUUGGCGAGAGACCGAUAGCGAACAAGUACCGUGAGGGAAAGACUGAAAAGAACUUUGAAAAGAGAGUUAAACAGUACGUGAAAUUGUCAAAAGGGAAGCGUUUGACACCAGUGUUGUUUUUCUGAAAAUCAAUUAAAGAACUGUUUAUGCUAAGCUGUUUAGACUUUAUCAGCUAUCUGUUUAGUUUUGAGCUUUUCUUUAAUGCACUUUUCAGUUAACAAGUCAACAUCAAUUUCUUUUGCUAUAAAAAAGCUUGAGGAAGGUGGCUUGAGAUUCGUCUUAAGUGUUUAUAGCCUCUUGCCUAUGCAGUCGGAGAGAUUGAGGUCUGCAGCGUAGAUCCUUCGGGGCUAAAUGCAUUUGUGCUAAGUUAUAGCAUUUUAUAGACAACUUGUUGACUAUGAUUUGUCUUGUAGCUUACUCGCUUAUGUUAUUUUACCUACGCUUAGGAUGUUGAGUCAUCACACAUCUCU
rnacentral:rRNA from 1 species